UCCCUCUUAGCUCAGUUGGUAGAGCGCGUCACUAGUACUGGUAGAUGACGAGGUCAGUCGUUCAAGUCGGCUAGAGGGAA